rnacentral:rRNA from 1 species
UACGGGGGGAGCAAGCGUUGUUCGGAUUUACUGGGCGUAAAGGGCGCGUAGGCGGCCAGCGCAAGUCAGUUGUGAAAUCUCCGGGCUUAACUCGGAAAGGUCAACUGAUACUGUGCGACUAGAGUGCGGAAGGGGCAACUGGAAUUCUCGGUGUAGCGGUGAAAUGCGUAGAUAUCGAGAGGAACACCUGCGGCGAAGGCGGGUUGCUGGGCUGACACUGACGCUGAUGCGCGAAAGCUAGGGGAGCGAACGGG